CCCAGUUCAGGGAGGUAGUGACAAUAAAUACCUUACAGAGGUCUCGUUAACCGAGAUCUCUCAAACGGAAUGAGUACAACGUGAAUCCUUUAACGAGGAUCGACUGGAGGGCAAGCCUGGUGCCAGCAGCCGCGGUAAUUCCAGCUCCAGUAGCGUACAUUAAAGCUGUUGCGGUUAAAAAGCUCGUAGUUGGAUAUCAGUGCGUGUCCGGUCCGGUAUGCCUGGCGCUGUCGCUCGCGCGGCAAUGCUGGGCUCCCAAAUAUCGGCUGGCCGCAUUCAAUCGUGCCGGACCCGUCGGCGGGCCGUUCUUCGGAGGGGCCUGUUGGCGGCCGGCGACGUUACCUUGAACAAAUUAGAGUGCUCAAAGCAGGCUCUGUAUGCCUGUAUACAUAUUCAUGGAAUUGGAGAAUACGUCCCUGGCUCGAUUUGGUUGGUUUUGAGAGUCGAAGGGAAAUGAUUAAUAGGGACUGACGGAGGCAUUCGUAUUGCGACGCGAGGGGUGAAAUCCUGUGACCGUCGCACGACGAACUACUGCGAAAGCAUUUGCCGAGAAUGUUUUCAUUAGUCAAGAACGAAAGUUAGAGGUUCGAAGGCGAUCAGAUACCGCCCUAGUUCUAACCGUAAACGAUGUCGACCAGCAAUCCGCAACGGUCAAUACACAGACUGUGCGGGCAGCUUCCCCGGGGAAACCAGAGUUUUUGGACUCCGGGGGAAGUAUGGUUGCAAAGCUGAAACUUAAAGGAAUUGACGGAAGGGCACCACCAGGAGUGGAGCUUGCGGCUUAAUUUGACUCAACACGGGACAACUCACCAGGCCCGGACACCGUAAGGAUUGACAGACUGAUAGCUCUCUCUUGAUUCAGUGGGUGGUGGUGCAUGGCCGUUCUUAGUUGGUGGAGUGAUUUGUCUGGUUUAUUCCGAUAACGAACGAGACUCUGGCCUAUUAAACUUGACACUGUCAGUCUCUUGUGACUGCGGUGCGCUUCUUAGAGGGAUCAUCGGCGUCCCAGCCGAAGGAAAGGGAGCAAUAACAGGUCUGUGAUGCCCUUAGAUGUUCUGGGCUGCACGCGUGUUACACUGAAGUGGUCAGCGCGCCGUUCAACACCCCUCUCCGUGAGGAGCUUGGGCAAACGUUUGAACCCUUUUCGUGAUGGGAAUUGGGGGUUGCAAUUG
rnacentral:rRNA from 1 species